ACACGUAGGGGGCGAGCGUUGUUCGGAAUUACUGGGCGUAAAGGGCAUGUAGGCGGUCUUGUAAGCUUGGCGUGAAAGACCACGGCUCAACCGUGGGAUUGCGUUGAGAACUGCGAGGCUUGAGUGACGGAGAGGGAGCUAGAAUUCCUGGUGGUAGGGGUGGAAUCUGUAGAGAUCAGGAAGAAUACCAAUGGCGAAGGCAAGCUCCUGGCCGAUGACUGACGCUGAGGUGACGAAAGUGUGGGGAUC
rnacentral:rRNA from 1 species